GACGAACGCUGGCGGCGUGCUUAACAUAUGCAAGUCGAACGGAAAGGCCUCAGCUUGCUGGGGUACUCGAGUGGCGAACGGGUGAGUAACACGUGGGUGAUCUGCCUUGCACUCUGGGAUAAGCUUGGGAAACUGGGUCUAAUACCGGAUAUGAACUGCCUUUAGUGUGGUGGUUGGAAAGUUUUUUCGGUGCAAGAUGAGCUCGCGGCCUAUCAGCUUGUUGGUGGGGUAAUGGCCUACCAAGGCGUCGACGGGUAGCCGGCCUGAGAGGGUGUACGGCCACAUUGGGACUGAGAUACGGCCCAGACUCCUACGGGAGGCAGCAGUGGGGAAUAUUGCACAAUGGGCGGAAGCCUGAUGCAGCGACGCCGCGUGGGGGAUGACGGCCUUCGGGUUGUAAACUCCUUUCGACAGGGACGAAGCUUUUUGUGACGGUACCUGUAUAAGAAGCACCGGCUAACUACGUG
rnacentral:rRNA from 1 species